UACGUAGGGAGCAAGCGUUGUCCGGAUUUAUUGGGCGUAAAGAGCUCGUAGGCGGCUUAGAAAGUCAGAUGUGAAAACUCCAGGCUCAACCUGGAGACGCCAUUUGAUACUUCUAUGGCUUGAGUUCGGUAGGGGACCAUGGAAUUCCUGGUGUAGCGGUGAAAUGCGCAGAUAUCAGGAGGAACACCGGUGGCGAAGGCGGGACUCUGGGCCGAUACUGACGCUGAGGAGCGAAAGCGUGGGGAGCAAACAGG
rnacentral:rRNA from 1 species